AUGUCUGGGAGGAAUCGAGGGCCUCCGACUCUUCCAAUGAAAGGGCCUCCUCAUGGCGGACUAUUGCAUCCGGUACAUGAACCGCCAUUUGCUAGAGGUCUAGGACCAAUGCCGCCACACCCUGCUUUACUUGAGGAAAUAAGAGAAACCCAAUUCGGGUUGGGUCCUAGAGGCCUCCCUCCUCACCCUGCAAUCUUUGAAGAGCGUCUUGCAGCUCAACUUCAAGAAAUUCAAGGCCUUCUUGCAGAUAAUCAGAGGCUGGCAGCGACUCAUGUUGCAUUAAAGCAGGAACUGGAGGCUGCCCAGCAUGAGUUGCAGCGGAUGGCUUGUUAUGUGGAUUCGUUGAGGGUGGAGAAGGAUGUUCAGAUGAGGGAGAUGUAUGAGAAGUCGGUUCAAUUGGAGGUUGAUCUUCGUGGGGCGGAGGCUAUGCGAGCUGAGCUUGUUAAGGUUAAUGCUGAUAUUAAGCAGCUUAAUGCUGUGAGGCAGGAUCUUACGGGUCAGGUUCAGGUUAUGAGUCAAGAUUUGGCUAGAAUUAUGACCGAAUUGCAACAGGCACCUGCUUUGAAGGCAGAGAUUGAGAAUGUGAAACAGGAACUCCAACGUGCAAGAGCUGCCAUCGAGUAUGAGAAGAAAGGAUAUGCAGAGAAUUACGAACAUGGCCAGGUGAUGGAGAAAAAAUUGAUCUCAAUGGCUCGGGAGUUGGAAAAGCUUCGUGCAGAGAUUGCUAAUGCAGAGAAGAGAACUCGUGCCACUGGUGGUAGUAAUCCUGCAGUUGCUGGUUAUAAUCCAAAUUAUGGAAAUCCUGAAGCUGGAUAUACUGGAACUUAUCCUGUCAACUAUGGCAUGAAUCCUGUUCAAGGUGGUGUGGAUGGUUACCCUCAGUAUGGACCUGCUGCUGGUUCCUGGGGUGCAUAUGACAUGCAGAGAGCUCAAGGACAUCGCUAGAGUGAUUUUUCAAAUCAUGCUAAUAUGAUAAUUUCUGGUUUACGAACUUGCAACCUGCAAAUUUUCUGGUUCAGUGAUUAUUCAAUGAUGUCUGAGUUACAUGAGGUGGUGAUGUCUUCAAUACAUGGUGCUACCUCAACUUUCACAUCUUUUAUGCCUCUUGAGCACUAGAUAUUAUUGAAGUCCUCUUGCCUGGGUUUGAAGACAAUUAAGGAAAUAUAAGGAUUUCCCCAAUUUUGCUUUUGGAGCUAAAGUCUUGUCAAGUUCUUCUGCACAUUUCCUGCUUUCAGUGGCAAUGAGCCAGUAACAGCUGUUGGUUUGGCACUAUGUCUUGUAUAACCGCCAGUUAUGUUGGGAAAUUACACUAGGCUUCCUGGGGCAACAGAAAAUACCAGAAGAUUUAUGUGAUUUUGGUUUAAAUUUACCAAAUUGCCAAAUACCGGGGCCAUUCAAGCUCAUUGUAUGAUCUUUUUCUCAGCAGUAAGACAAGAUGAGGCAGUGAAUGAAGAGAGAGUUUCUUUAGCUAACAAGCUUUGAUCUACUUUGGCUAUUAUAACUAGAGAUGUUCAAUGAUUUGAUUUUAUGAUGUUUUCUGCAUCAAAAUGACGGAUGGGCAUAGUAUGUCAAAGGCUUCGAUGAGAUUUUGUCGAUCAGAAGAUCUACCAGAGUUGUUUCGGAUGACUGGUGUCUAGUUUUUAAGUCCUCCUGUAGGGUACAGUGUGCUUAAGUACUAGACAUGUUUCAAAUGUGGCACGGGGUGCACCAUGGUCAGUGGAUAAAAGAUGACAGUUGCUGGUCACAUCCGCCACCUGCCAAAAAUAUUCACUAUAAUCUCAAAGCCUUAUGGCAUAAACUCCCCUUGAGGUUAUAUGGAUGUUGUAUUGACCAUCUUAUGUGCUGAAACUAUGUCAAGGAAGUAUCAAGUGUUUGCUGUACAUGGAUCAAGAUUAUGUUAUAGACCCUCUGGUUUUUGAACAAGAUAUUACCUGUCAUCUCAAUAUCAUUAUUUAUACCCCAACCCUUGUCCCUUACAAAAACUUCUACCUUGAGUUAACCUUUGAAGAUGGUAAAUAUUUUAAUUGUUUAAAACAAACGAUAAGAAAUAAUUUUGCUACCUGU